GUAGACGAUUCCCACCAACCUUAAACCCUAGCGCCACUUGACCAGCUUAGCAAAACCCUUGCUCGCUAUCUCUUCCGGUCUUCCCUUCCCCUCUAUCUUUCAAGUAAAUUCUGCUGCUUCUUCGAUAGCUAUUAAGAAUUAGCCCUAUAUCUACACACAGAUUCUCAUAAUUAUCAAUUUAAAUUAGACUGCUCUUUAUGGCUUCGGUGCAAAUGAAGAAGAAUUACCGAUGCGUUCCGUCGCUGCAGCAGUUCUACAGCGGGGGGCCGUUCGUGGUGGCGUCGGACUGCUCCUUUAUUGCUUGCGCUUGUGGUGAAGCCGUCAAGAUUGUGGAUUCAGCGAAUGCGUCGAUAAGGGCGACUAUCGAAGGUGACACCGAGGCCAUCACUGCGUUGGCACUUAGCCCUGAUGAUAAAUUGCUGUUUUCUGCGGGUCACAGUAGGCAAAUUAGAGUCUGGGACUUGUCCACUAUGAAGAGCGUGCGCUCUUGGAAGGGCCAUGAUGGUCCUGUGAUGGGCAUAGCUUGCCAUGGAUCUGGAGGCUUGCUGGCAACUGCAGGAGCCGAUAGAAAAGUCCUGGUUUGGGAUGUUGAUGGUGGCUUCUGCACACAUUACUUCAAAGGCCAUAAAGGGGUUGUUACAAGUAUUGUAUUCCAUCCUGAUACAAAUAAAAUGCUUCUUUUCUCUGGAAGUGAUGAUGCAACUGUACGAGUUUGGGAUCUUGUAGCCAAGAAGUGUAUAGCAACAUUAGAAAGACAUUUUUCAGCAGUGACCUCUUUGGCAGUAUCUGAAGAUGGAUGGACAUUACUUAGUGCUGGAAGAGAUAAGGUUGUGAACUUGUGGGACCUUCAUGGCUAUGUCUGCAAGAUGACAAUUCCAACUUAUGAGGUGUUGGAAGCUCUCUGUGUAAUUCCUUCGGGGACUCAAUUUUCUUCAUUUCUGAGUUCAUACAGUCAGCAGAUUGGAAAAGACAGAAAUGGAUCAUCAGCAAUUUAUUUUGUCACUGUUGGUGAACGUGGGAUUGUACGGAUAUGGAACUCUGAACGUGCGAUUUGCCUUUAUGAACAAAAGUCCUCAGAUGUUGCUGUCACCUCAGAUGCUGAUGAAUCAAAAAGAGGCUUCAUUGCUGCUACUAUGCUUCCUUUAGAUCAAGGAUUGCUUUGUGUGACUGCAGAUCAGCAGUUUCUGUACUACAUACCAGUUGAACACCCUGAAGAGAAGUUCAAGUUAGUACUGAGCAAGAGGCUUAUUGGGUACAAUGAAGAGAUUUUGGAUAUGAAAUUUUUGGGUGAGGAGGAAAAAUUUCUUGCUGUUGCUACAAAUCUUGAACAGAUUCGAGUGUAUGACCUGGAAUCUAUGUCAUGCGCUUAUGUAUUGACAGGUCAUACUGAAAUUGUUUUGAGCCUUGACACCUGUAUAUCAAGAUCUGGGAGGACACUUAUAGUUACAGGAAGUAAGGACAAUACUGUAAGGUUAUGGGAUUCAGAAAGCAGAAACUGCAUUGGUAUUGGCACAGGUCACAUGGGAGGUGUUGGAGCUGUCGCACUUUCAAAGAAGUGGAAGAAUUUCUUUGUUACUGGCAGCAGUGAUCGAACCAUCAAGGUAUGGAAUUUGGAUGGUAUCUCAGAUGACAUGGACCAGCCUGUUAAUUUGAAAGCAAAAGCAGUUGUUGCAGCUCAUGAUAAGGACAUAAACUCUCUGGCUGUUGCGCCGAAUGAUAGUUUAGUGUGUAGUGGUUCUCAGGACCGGACCGCAUGUGUCUGGAGGCUUCCAGAUCUAGUAUCUGUUGUUGUACUUAAAGGGCAUAAAAGAGGAAUUUGGUCCGUAGAGUUCUCACCAGUUGAUCAAUGUGUGAUUACAGCUUCUGGUGAUAAAACAAUAAAGAUAUGGGCUAUAGCUGAUGGAUCUUGCUUAAAAACCUUUGAAGGGCACACAUCAAGUGUAUUGAGAGCAUCAUUUCUUACUCGUGGCACCCAAUUGGUUUCAUGUGGUGCUGAUGGUUUGGUAAAGCUAUGGACAGUAAAAACGAAUGAGUGCAUUGCCACAUAUGAUCAACAUGAGGACAAGGCUUGGGCCUUGGCAAUUGGGAAAAAGACAGAAAUGUUUGCAACCGGUGGCAGUGAUGCGGUUGUUAAUCUGUGGUAUGACUCAACUGCUGCGGAUAAAGAGGAAGCUUUUCGUAAAGAGGAGGAAGGAGUUUUAAAAGGCCAAGAAUUAGAAAAUGCUGUGUUAGAUGCUGACUACACUAAAGCUAUUCAAAUAGCAUUUGAACUCCGCAGACCUCAUAAACUUUUUGAGUUAUUUGCUGAACUAUGCGGGAAGAGGGGAGUUGACUAUCAGAUGGAGAAAGCCUUACGUGCUAUUGGUAAGGAAGAAUUUCGUCUACUUUUCGAGUAUGUUCGCGAAUGGAAUACAAAGCCGAAGCUGUGUCAUGUUGCACAAUAUGUGCUCUUUCAAGUUUUCAACAUCCUUCCUCCGACACAGAUUCUAGAGAUUGGAGGGAUCGAGGAGCUUCUUGAAGGUCUUAUACCAUACUCCCAGAGGCAUUUCAGCAGGAUAGACCGACUAGUUAGAAGCACAUUUUUGGUGGACUAUACUUUGACAGGAAUGUCAGUUAUUGAGCCUAAUAUUCAAGCUGCAGAACCAAAGGAGUCGUCCCAUAUACCCACUAAUGUUAAGGAUGAUGACAUCGUUCUUUUAUCAGAUCAAGCUGAGAAAGAACAACAGCAGACUCCUGAAGUGUUGAAAGAGAGAACAAGUUCAAAGAAACGGAAAUCAAAGCAAGCCAACAAACCUAGUGAUAGAUCACAUAAGAAAGUUAAGGGUGCAGCUUCCACAAGCGCAGCAGCAAUUCCAUUACAGGCAUAGAACAGUUCAUUCCUGUAGUGUACCUUUUGAUUAUUUCUUAGAACUGGGCUAUUAAUUUUAUUGGAGAGGAUGCAAUUUUGACCAUGUAAAUUGUAGAAAAUAUCUUCCAAUUUUCCCUCCAAAGAACUCUCCGGUAUUCUCUGAAUGGCUCCAUUUAUUUAAUUUUUUUUUAUCACUUUGUAUCUGAACAUUGUAUGCUAAAUUUUGUUUGUAUGAGACAGAUUUAGCAACUUUUAUUCUUUGGUCGAUAAUGGACAUAAAUUUCAUUUUCUA
rnacentral:misc_RNA from 1 species